AGGCCGUGAUGGGGACACUUGCGUAAUAGCUCCUUGAACCUUUCCCAAGUUUCAUAUAAGGAUUCCCCGUCCUCUUGUGAAUAUGUAUUGAUUUCAGUCAUUAACUU
rfam:Helianthus annuus linkage group 6, whole genome shotgun sequence.